rnacentral:rRNA from 1 species
GAUGAACGCUGGCGGCGUGCCUAAUACAUGCAAGUCGAGCGAACAGACGAGGAGCUUGCUCCUCUGACGUUAGCGGCGGACGGGUGAGUAACACGUGGAUAACCUACCUAUAAGACUGGGAUAACUUCGGGAAACCGGAGCUAAUACCGGAUAAUAUAUUGAACCGCAUGGUUCAAUAGUGAAAGACGGUUUUGCUGUCACUUAUCGAUGGAUCCGCGCCGCAUUAGCUAGUUGGUAAGGUAACGGCUUACCAAGGCAACGAUGCGUAGCCGACCUGAGAGGGUGAUCGGCCACACUGGAACUGAGACACGGUCCAGACGCCUAAGGGAGGCAGCAGUAGGGAAUCUUCCGCAAUGGGCGAAAGCCUGACGGAGCAACGCCGCGUGAGUGAUGAAGGUCUUCGGAUCGUAAAACUCUGUUAUUAGGGAAGAACAAAUGUGUAAGUAACUAUGCACGUCUUGACGGUACCUAAUCAGAAAGCCACGGCUAACUACGUG